CAGCAGCCGCGGUAAGACGAAGGUGGCGAGCGUUGUUCGGAAUCACUGGGCAUAAAGCGCACGUAGGCGGUGACGUAAGUCGGGUGUGAAAUCCCUCGGCCUAACCGAGGAACUGCGCCCGAUACUGCGUUGCUUGAGGAUCAGAGGGGUGCAUGGAAUUUCCGGUGGAGCGGUGAAAUGCGUUGAUAUCGGAAGGAACUCCGGCGGCGAAAGCGAUGCACUGGCUGAUUUCUGACGCUGAGGUGCGAAAGCCAGGGGAGCAAACGGGAUUAGAUACCCCUGUAGUCCCUGUCUCUUAUAC
rnacentral:rRNA from 1 species